rnacentral:snoRNA from 1 species
AUCCAAGGUGAUUCCCUCUCCAAGGGGCCAACUAGUGCCCCUCUCAGGAAAGUAGCAACUUGGAAGAAAAUCUGGCAUGCCUGAGGUCUUCCAGGGAAUAGGGGAUGCCCAUUUCCUUUGCCUUCCUUUGGCUGCCUACACGU